AGAGUUUGAUCAUGGCUCAGAACGAACGCUGGCGGCAUGCCUAACACAUGCAAGUCGAACGCUCCGCAAGGGGAGUGGCGCACGGGUGAGUAACGCGUGGGAACCUGCCGAGGGGUGUGGGAUAACCGGUGGAAACGCCGGCUAAUACCGCAUACGUCCUAUGGGAGAAAGAUUGAUCGCCCUUCGAGGGGCCCGCGUCGGAUUAGCUAGUUGGCGGGGUAACGGCCCACCAAGGCGACGAUCCGUAGCUGGUCUGAGAGGAUGAUCAGCCACACUGGGACUGAGACACGGCCCAGACUCCUACGGGAGGCAGCAGUGGGGAGUAUUGGACAAUGGGGGCAACCCUGAUCCAGCAAUGCCGCGUGAGUGAUGAAGGCCUUAGGGUUGUAAAGCUCUUUCGGCGGGGACGAUGAUGACGGUACCCGCAGAAGAAGCCCCGGCUAACUUCGUGCCAGCAGCCGCGGUAAUACGAAGGGGGCAAGCGUUGUUCGGAUUUACUGGGCGUAAAGGGCGCGCAGGCGGCCCUUCAAGUCAGAUGUGAAAGCCCCGGGCUCAACCUGGGAACUGCAUUUGAGACUGAAGGGCUAGAGUUCGGGAGAGGAUGGCGGAAUUCCCAGUGUAGAGGUGAAAUUCGUAGAUAUUGGGAAGAACACCGGUGGCGAAGGCGGCCAUCUGGACCGAGACUGACGCUGAGGCGCGAAAGCGUGGGGAGCAAACAGGAUUAGAUACCCCCGUAGUCC
rnacentral:rRNA from 1 species